GACAGCAGCCACAGCGAUCUCAGGGACUUAUUCAUGGUGGACCUUCUUUGAAACCAUACUCUAGGGCAUGCAGUUUUGGAACUCCUACUCUAGAUGGCUGGGCGAGUACACAUACUAACCCGCAUGGCCCACUAUCUCCAACUAUCCUCUGGACAAUUCUACCCAGCAACCCACACUGGCCAUCUUCUUGCCAUCUGUCCUGCCUGUCUAUGGGGGCACCCUCUUCUAUGCUAUUCUCUGUCUGUCUCUGCCUGUCUCUGUCUCUCUCCUCCUCCUCUUCUCUGCCUUCCCUUCCCCUCUCUCCUUGUUCUGGGAGCUGUAAUCGAAUCAAUACUAUUAUAUUGUAACUGGAUCUCAAAACUCAGUAUGUCUGCAACUCGGUAUGUAGCGUCUUAAAACCAUUAUGUUAAAAACAGAACUUGUUAAUUCAUUAUCUUCCCUUCCCAAACUCCCCUCUCUUCUGAACUUCCCCAUUUACCUUCACAACAUCUCUACUAAAUACCCACUUUUCUCUUCACUCACACAACCCCAGUGCUAGUCAUGUCUCUCAUUGCCUCUUGCCUGAACCAUUGUAAUAGCCUUUUAACUCAUCUCCCUGUCUUGCUUCUCUCCACUCAGCUAUCCAACUGCUUUUUUUCUUUCUAAAAUGCAGAUCUGGCCAUGCUACCCUCCUUUGUGGUCAUCCCUGCCCCCCAUGAACUCUACCAGUUCCUAAUGCCCUCAGAAUAUAAAAUGCUGUAUUUGGCUUUCCAAGCCUGGGUCCUUGCUAAGAUCCAGUCUCCAUUCUCUCUGAUCCAGCUACACAGUUUUACUCACAGUUCUAGAACACCCACCCAUCUCCAUGGCUUUGCAGUGGCUUUCAGAAAAGCAUAAUACACUUUUAAGUUUAAUCUGCAUUGCUAACAUUUUCUCCAUCACUUUCCAAGUCUAGGCAAUCAACAAAAUUAUAAAUCAAACUCAGAAUUGUAAUGUCUGCCCAUUUCCAAGGUGUAAAUGGUCACAUUAAAAAUUUGAUGAUUGAGUGGUAGAAGCUGGCUACAGUGCGUUCUUGGCUGGCACACAAGCCUACAAUGCUUUGCCCUUUCAUAUCCAAUUCUGAGUUUCCCUGGUUUCCUUCAAGAUUCAAACCCACGUUCUGCUGGAGACUUUUCCUGACUGCUCCCUCCCCUCUCCGCCAACAGUUCCCAGUGCUUCCCCCUCUGAAAUGACGUCCCCUCUAUCUGUGUAUGUCUUGUGUUGCCUUCUCUAUUAGAGUGUGAGCUCCUUGAGGGCAGGGACUGUUUUUGCCUCUCUUUGUCCCCCCAGCACUUAGCACAGUGCUAGGCACAUAAAAAAGUGCUUAAUAAAUGCCUGCUGACUCACUUCUGGACAUCUCCUGUCAAUUGAUACACACAGCUACACUCACCAGCCUUAUGACUUACUAGAUGAAAAUACGCUUUCCUGCCCGCUUUCUUAUGUGUUGACUUCCCUAUUAGAAUAUAAACUCCUUUAAGGCAGGAACUGUCUCAAAUUUCUAUUUGUAUUCCCCAGCACAUAGUCCUUAAUAAGUGCUAUUCAUUCAUUCAGGUACUAUAUUUCCCCCAUUAGAGCGAAGGUUCCCUUACUGCAGAAUCUCUUCCUCAUUUUUCUUUUUCCCCUUACAACCCAUUGGAACAAUGGUGUUUCUCUUACUGAAAGGACAUGUUUUUAAUGUAGUUCUUCCAGUCAAGAGUAACAUGGAGCCCUUCCUCCCUCUGUAGAGUGAGGCAGUGGGGAACUUCCAAAGUGACAGCCCAGAGAAUAGUUCUAGGACUUGGAGGGGAGGGGAGGAGGAGACAGGCUGGCAGUGGAGGAGAGAGAGGGACUGCGCACUUUCCCUGAACUUUUAAGAUCAACAGAGAGGCAAGAGGAUCUUCUCAGUUUUGCCUUUGUUGGGAGAAAAAUCAGCCCUUUGCUGAGCCCAUGGACUCUUGGCUCCACCUGGUUUCUUGGAGUUGUGUUCAACUUCCUGGGAUGGGAUGGGAUGGGAUGGGAUGGGAUGGGAUGGGAUGGGAUGGGAUGGGAUGGGAUGGGAUGGGAUGGGAUGGGAUGGGAUGAGGUGGGAUGAGAUGGAGAAAAGAGGUGGAUCUACACGCUUGUCAGGACAAGUGCUGGAUUUUUUGAAAUCCAAUAUUUGGGAGGUUGUUUCAUUCAAAUUUCUAAUCUCCUGACCUUUGCUAGGGGAAGGACAGACAGGGGAAGGAUUAGUUGCCAAUAAAGGUGGGGUCUUUGAUGCUUGGGGAUGGCAAUGGUGGUGGUGAAUUCCCAGCUGGUAGAGUUCUCCCAAAUUUAGUAUCUUGUAGAAUUGUCCCUAUCAACUCAAAAAGGGUGGAGUCCUUUCCCUCUCCUCCGAGGCCUUGCACUUCCCGAUUCACUUCAUACCAUCUCAGACUAAUGUUGGAAGAACUUUAGAAGCCAUCUGGUCCAAAACCUUCACUUUAUAAAUGAGGAAACUGAGACUCAGACUUACGCAAAGUUCCAAGGGACGCCUCCUCGUAGUCCGGUGCGGCGCUGCUCUCCAGUGCCUGGAACACGCUCGUGCCCAACGCCAGGAAAAGCCACCCUUGUGGAGAAUUGGCUACCCCAUCACCACCGAUUGUCAACUGACUGCCUCUCAGAGGACAGGCAAGCCAGCCUAGCAGAAGCAGCAAGGCAUCCUGAAGGAAGGAAAGGAGGCAGCAUG